rnacentral:rRNA from 1 species
UCCGUAGGCGGACUAAUAAGUCAGGGGUGAAAUCCCACAGCUCAACUGUGGAACUGCCUUUGAUACUGUUAGUCUUGAGUUAUAUGGAAGUAGAUAGAAUGUGUAGUGUAGCGGUGAAAUGCUUAGAGAUUACACAGAAUACCGAUUGCGAAGGCAGUCUACUACGUAUAUACUGACGCUAAUGGACGAAAGCGUGGGGAGCGAACAGGAUUAGAUACCCUGGUAAUCC